rnacentral:snRNA from 1 species
GCAUGUGAGGGCGAUCUGGCUGUGACAUCUGUCACCCCAUUGUUCUCCAGGGUUGGUUCGGCUGAUCUGGCUGGCUAGGCAAAUAUCCCCUUCCUCCCUCACAGCUCCAUGUGCGUCCCUGCAGAAACUAUGCACUGGGUCCAAGAGGACGGCCUUCCCUGAAGAGACACUGACUGGUCUUAGGUCGAGGGUAUAAGAGUAGCUAUGCUCCCCUGCUAGAACCUCCAAACAAGCUCUCAAAAUUAAUAUGCUUUCACCAUAAUUUGCAUCUCUCU